GGAGACGGAUGAGAUCGGUUUCUUUUCUUAGGCUGGAAGGAGGGUAGGGGACGCCGAGCAUGCUUCCCAUCUGGUUCUGGAAGCUUGCCCGGGAUCCUAUUUGCCUUUGAAAUUUUAGCUUAUUCUGUGACACCUGCCGUCAGCCUCUAGCCCCAGUCGAGCCUUCAGAUGACUGCGGCCCUGGCUCAACCAUCUUAAGGGCAUGAACAUGAGAGACCUUGAGCCAGAACCACCAACCAAACUCUUCCCAGACUGAUGAUCUACAUAAACUGAGAUGGUUCGGUGCCUGUAGCUAGGGCGUCAGCCACGUACACCGGAGCUUAGCCGGGUUUGAAUCCAGCCUAGGCCUUCCAAACAAUGACAACUACAACCAAAAAAUAGCUGGGUGUUGUGGCGGGCACCUGUAGUCCCUGCUACUUGGGAGGCUGA